rnacentral:rRNA from 1 species
GCAGUCGAACGAAGUAGCAAUACUUAGUGGCAGACGGGUGAGUAACAUGUAGGUAUCUGCCCUUUGGCCUGGAAUAACACGAGGAAACUUGUGCUAAUACCGGAUAAGUCUUUACGGAGAAAGCUUUAUGCACCAUUGGAUGAGCCUGCACUUGAUUAGUUUGUUGGUGGGGUAAUGGCCUACCAAGACUGUGAUCAAUAGCUGAUUUGAGAGGAUGAUCAGCCACAUUGGGACUGAGACACGGCCCAAACUCCUACGGGAGGCAGCAGUGGGGAAUCUUGCACAAUGGAGGAAACUCUGAUGCAGCGAUGCCGCGUGAGUGAAGAAGGCCCUUGGGUUGUAAAGCUCUUUCGUCGGGGAAGAAAAUGACUGUACCCGAAUAAGAAGGUCCGGCUAACUUCGUGCCAGCAGCCGCGGUAAUACGAAGGGACCUAGCGUAGUUCGGAAUUACUGGGCUUAAAGAGUUCGUAGGUGGUUAAAAAAGUUGGUGGUGAAAUCCCAGAGCUUAACUCUGGAACUGCCAUCAAAACUUUUUAGCUAGAGUAUGAUAGAGGAAAGCAGAAUUUCUAGUGUAGAGGUGAAAUUCGUAGAUAUUAGAAAGAAUACCAAUUGCGAAGGCAGCUUUCUGGAUCAUUACUGACACUGAGGAACGAAAGCAUGGGUAGCGAAGAGGAUUAGAUACCCUCGUAGUCCAUGCCGUANACGAUGUGUGUUAGACGUUGGAAAUUUAUUUUCAGUGUCGCAGCGAAAGCGAUAAACACACCGCCUGGGGAGUACGACCGCAAGGUUAAAACUCAAAUGAAUUGACGGGGACCCGCACAAGUAGUGGAGCAUGUGGUUUAAUUCGAAGAUACGCGCAGAACCUUACCACACUUGACAUGUUCGUCGCGACUUUAAGAGAUUAAAG